CACGCAGGCGGUUUUUUAAGUCAGAUGUGAAAGGUACCGGCUCAACCGGUGACAUGCAUUUGAAACUGAAAGACUUGAGUAUUGGAGAGGCAAGUGGAAUUCCUAGUGUAGCGGUGAAAUGCGUAGAUAUUAGGAGGAACACCAGUGGCGAAGGCGGCUUACUGGACGGUAACUGACGUUGAGGCUCGAAAGCGUGGGGAGCAAACA
rnacentral:rRNA from 1 species